rnacentral:rRNA from 1 species
AGAGUUUGAUCCUGGCUCAGAACGAACGCUGGCGGCAGGCCUAACACAUGCAAGUCGAGCGCAGUCCUUCGGGACCGAGCGGCGGACGGGUUAGUAACGCGUGGGAACAUACCCUUUGGUACGGAAUAGCCUCGGGAAACUGAGAGUAAUACCGUAUAAGCCCUUCGGGGGAAAGAUUUAUCGCCAAAGGAUUGGCCCGCG